rnacentral:rRNA from 1 species
UGGGCCCGUUUGAUCAUGGCUCAGAUUGAACGCUGGCGGCAUGCCUUACACAUGCAAGUCGAACGGCAGCACGGGGGCAACCCUGGUGGCGAGUGGCGAACGGGUGAGUAAUACAUCGGAACGUGUCCUGUAGUGGGGGAUAGCCCGGCGAAAGCCGGAUUAAUACCGCAUACGCUCUACGGAGGAAAGGGGGGGAUCUUAGGACCUCUCGCUACAGGGGCGGCCGAUGGCAGAUUAGCUAGUUGGUGGGGUAAAGGCCUACCAAGGCGACGAUCUGUAGCUGGUCUGAGAGGACGACCAGCCACACUGGGACUGAGACACGGCCCAGACUCCUACGGGAGGCAGCAGUGGGGAAUUUUGGACAAUGGGCGCAAGCCUGAUCCAGCAAUGCCGCGUGUGUGAAGAAGGCCUUCGGGUUGUAAAGCACUUUUGUCCGGAAAGAAAACUUCUGGGUUAAUACCCUGUGUGGAUGACGGUACCGGAAUAAGAAGCACCGGCUAACUACGUGCCAGCAGCCGCGGUAAUACGUAGGGUGCGAGCGUUAAUCGGAAUUACUGGGCGUAAAGCGUGCGCAGGCGGUUUAGUAAGACAGGCGUGAAAUCCCCGGGCUCAACCUGGGAACUGCGCUUGUGACUGCUAAGCUAGAGUACGGCAGAGGGGGGUGGAAUUCC